GCUAGAAUGAGUUCAUAGCGCAAAUAAAAAAUAAUGAUCAAUGCUCGGAACUGAUUCUAAUAUUGGUUCAUUUUCUAUGGGCAAUAUGGACAAGCACGAAUUCAUUAAUCCUUCGCAAUUAGAGGCUUAGUUUUCUUGAGGUUAUUGUGAUGGCUUUGAAUUCUUUUGAAGAAUAUCAGUUUGUUUCACAAGAUCAUUCCCUUCUUCAUGCGAAAAUUAUUAGUUCCAUACAAUCUUGGUCCCCUUCAGCUUGGGGCUUCUUCAAGGUGAAUUUUGAUGCAGCUUUAAGUCUUCAAACAAAUUUAAAGGCAGUAGCUGUUCUAGCUCGCAACAAUGCUGGCG
rnacentral:misc_RNA from 1 species